AUGAACGCUGGCGGCGUGCCUAAUCCAUGCAAGUAGAACGCUGAAGGAGGAGCUUGCUCUUCUGGAUGAGUUGCGAACGGGUGAGUAACGCGUAGGUAACCUGCCUGGUAGCGGGGGAUAACUAUUGGAAACGAUAGCUAAUACCGCAUGACAACAGUUAUUGCAUGAUAACUGUUUAAAAGGGGCAACUGCUCCACUACCAGAUGGACCUGCGUUGUAUUAGCUAGUUGGUGAGGUAACGGCUCACCAAGGCGACGAUACAUAGCCGACCUGAGAGGGUGAUCGGCCACACUGGGACUGAGACACGGCCCAGACUCCUACGGGAGGCAGCAGUAGGGAAUCUUCGGCAAUGGACGGAAGUCUGACCGAGCAACGCCGCGUGAGUGAAGAAGGUUUUCGGAUCGUAAAGCUCUGUUGUAAGAGAAGAACGAGUGUGAGAGUGGAAAGUUCACACUGUGACGGUAUCUUACCAGAAAGGGACGGCUAACUACGUG
rnacentral:rRNA from 1 species